GAAUCCUGUUAGUCCUGCCUACUCAUAAAAGUCUGUCGCAGGUGUCUACCUCCUUUCUAAAAGGAUGGAGCUGGGGAGGACCAGGGCUCAGUGUCUGACACUGCAGGUAUAGGCUGCUUGUUUCAAUAUCACUGAGGCCUGGCAGCAAAUGGGAGAAGACCAAAGAAAACGACACAAGCCAUUGUUACCCACAUACAGUUGCCAUUCACUUGAUUUAGCAUUCUGUUCCUUGCUGUCAUCCAGUACCUGAUGGAAAUAGGUAUACAAGAAAACAUUAAAUGGAGCUUGGGGAAUCCUACAGAAGAGGAUGAGGAAGGAUUGAAGAAACCAGAGGGGGUCAAGAACAUCAUAAGAAAAUCUAGAGAAUCAACUAAACUGGGCCCAUAGGGGAUCAUAGAGACUGGACUGCCAACCAGAGAGCAUGCCUGGGAUGGAUCUAGGCCCUCUGAACAUAUGUAACAGUUGUAAAGAACAAGGACAUACUGCCUCUGGACAGAUAGAAGUUUUUCAGGAAGACUACAUAUUCUAAAAGCUUUAGAAAUAUCUGAAAGCCUGCUUAACAUGAAGGUCACAACAAUGGCCUGUUGGUCAUUAUGCACUGUCAUCAUUUGAGAGUAUUCCACUUUUCUAUACAAUAAACUCUGGGAAUCUUCUACACUGU